GUAUAUAUACCAUCAUAGAAUAUUUGUAUCAGAUGAUUGGUAUUAAUAUUUACAACUUGGCCCCUGCCGCUGCUACUCAUAGUUGCAGCCAAAAUCUCCAUGCUUGACAACCAAGCACACACCUGUUAGUCUGUUACACUGCUCCUUCACUCUUACCUGAAAUGCCAAGAAGAAAGAAAUGGGAACACGAACACACAAUUCUCAAUAACAAUAAUCUACACUAGCAGAACAGCCUGUACUGCUAUGCUAGAUACGAAGUCCUGCCCUUCCACAUUGCCAUUCGGUGCUUUGGUAGGAGAAAACACGAGAUGGAGAUAUAUAAUCGGAGAUGGAGUUUUAAAAAACAAAUAAUCGGAGAUAUGGGUGGAUUUGAUGAUAUGGAAAAGGUGGUCGCGACAGCCAGUAAAGUCCCGGGGCAUAUAUGCCUUCACAUCCGCCGAAUCUUUGUAGCUUGUAGAGAGGGGUCGUCAAAGUCGCGGAAAGCGCCGGUGAGGUGGACCAGCGUUGCCUCGGCUGCGUGCCCAACUUAUUUGGCUCGCUCGCCCGGCUUUGGAUUUGUCCAGCGAUGGAAUCCGCCACUGCGAAUGGAGAUGAGGCCGAAUUUGGACGCAACCGUCUUGGACGAGGCUUUACGAGUUUGGUGAUGAGCUCGUCUACGACCAUUUUGCACAGAUUCUAAGAAUAUAUCUAGAAGAUGUUGUAUCAUUCCAUAUGAGAAAUUUGAACUAUCACAUCAUUUAAAAUAGGACGGUUGCGUCGCUCCGCGUUAGGUUCACCUCCCGUGCCCUUCUUUCAUUUUCUCUCUUUUCAGUUCGACGACUGAGUAACUGUGUUGACCUUCGUCGGGCCACAACCAGGUAUGCCCCCCUCCCCUCUCUUCCCUUCACCUCUUCCUCUCCUUCCUGUUGUGCGGACGAAGCAAGUCUAACUAAUGCUGAAUUUUGUUUUUCUUCCUGUUUGAGUCAUUCGAUUUGAUCUCCUAGGAAAAGUAUGUAUCUAAAGUGCUCUUUGUCCCAUACUCCCAUUAAAUACCAAGUUGGAUGGGAUGCGUCGGUUGCUACUCCUCACCUAAUCGCUAGCCCAGUAUGCUUGUUCUUACUCCUGCCAAGUGAUCACUGCAGUGGAAACUUACUAUCAUCGAGUGAAAGCAUGAUGAUGAAGGCGAGGUGAGGUGAGCAGAGGCAGAGCUCUGUAUGAUCCAUGCUGUAUGUCUCUGAUGAUUGGUCGGAAGUGGCCACUAUGAUGUAAUAUCCUGUUUUCGAAAUUUAUUUGUAGUCUUUCUCAUAUGUGGAACAAUUCGUAUAUAUAUAACAUAUCUUUUAUAUUUUUAUCA